GUAGUCUCGCACAGAUGCAUAUCAAUAAGCGGAGGAAAAGAAACUAACAAGGAUUCCCCUAGUAACGGCGAGUGAAGCGGGAAGAGCUCAAAUUUGAAAUCUUAAAGGGUUUUCCCUUGACGAAUUGUAGUUUAAAGAAGUGUUUUCUGAUUGAAGUUUUGGUAAAAGUUCUUUGGAAUAGGACAUCAUAGAGGGUGAGAAUCCCGUAUUUGACCAUUAUUUUCAGCUGUGUGAUACACUUUCAAAGAGUCGGAUUGUUUGGGAAUGCAGUCCAAAAUGGGUGGUAAAUUUCAUCUAAAGCUAAAUAUUGGCGGAGAGACCGAUAGCGAACAAGUACCGUGAGGGAAAGAUGAAAAGAACUUUGAAAAGAGAGUUAAACAGUACGUGAAAUUGUCAAAAGGGAAGCGUUUGACACCAGUGUUGUUUUCUCGAAAAUCAAUUAAAAAGAGUUAGAUUUUGUUGUGUAUUGACCUUAACAGCUUGCAUUUCAAUUUUCUUGCUUUUUUUAAUGCACUCUUCGUUUAACAAGUCAACAUCAGUUUCUUUUGUUGUAAAAAGGUCAUUGGAAGGUGGCUUUCUUUUCGGAGAAAGUGUUUAUAGCCUUUGACUCCUGCAAUCGGAGAGACUGAGGUCUGCAGCGUAGAUCCUUCGGGGUUAGAUACAUUUGUGCUAAGUUAUAGCUUUUUAUAGACAACUUGUUGACUAUGAUUAGUCUUGUAGCUUACUCGCUUAUGCUAUUUUACCUACGCUUAGGAUGUUGAGCGCAUGUCUCUCUCU
rnacentral:rRNA from 1 species